UACGGAGGGUGCAAGCGUUAUCCGGAUUCACUGGGGUUAAAGGGCUCGUGGGCGGCUAACUAAGUCAGACGGGAAAUCCCUCGGCUUAACCGGGGAACUGCAUCUGAUACUGGAUGGCUUGAGAUUGGGAGAGGGAUGCGGAAUUCCAGGUGUAGCGGUGAAAUGCGUAGAUAUCUGGAGGAACACCGGUGGCGAAGGCGGCAUCCUGGACCAACACUGACGCUGAGGAGCGAAAGCCAGGGGAGCAAACGGG
rnacentral:rRNA from 1 species